UACAGAGGUCUCAAGCGUUGUUCGGAUUCAUUGGGCGUAAAGGGUGCGUAGGCGGCGCGGUAAGUCGGGUGUGAAAUCUCGGAGCUUAACUCCGAAACUGCAUUCGAUACUGCCGUGCUUGAGGACUGGAGAGGAGACUGGAAUUUACGGUGUAGCGGUGAAAUGCGUAGAUAUCGUAAGGAAGACCAGUGGCGAAGGCGGGGUCUCUGGACAGUUCCUGACGUGAGG
rnacentral:rRNA from 1 species